GCCUGGCUGGCUCAGUCUGUAGAGCAUGUGACUCUUGAUCUCAGAGUCAUGAGUUCAUGUCCCAUGCUGGGGG
rnacentral:tRNA from 1 species